CCGUCGCAGCACGAAGUAGCGCUUCAGCAGCAGCAACUCGGCGCUGGAUCUCUGAGCUUCAACAGUAACAUGUCUAAAGAGGAUGAGGAGAUGUCAAUGUCAGCUCUCUUCACUUUCAAGGCCAAGGAGGAAGAGAUCCAGAGGAAGAAGUUAGAGGUGAGUGAGACGUGUUGAAGAAGAGACCAAGCACUUGGCUACUAUUCGUGAGAUUGGUAACACCAGAUACAUGGAGUAUAGUAGCUAGAAAAAGGCAACAUGACAAAGACCUGGAAGCUCAUUGAGAUUAUUGAAACUGAUUGGACUUUGGUCUUUUAGGGUGUUUGCAUGCUAGGAACAAAAGUUUUAAGAUUUGGGCAUUUCAUUCACUCAGUUGCAAAUUCCCUGCAAGCACAAGAAUUAUGUUUCAUUCAGG